UCCUCUCCUCCGGUCCCCUCUCGCUGGCCCCUUCUCCUCCUCCGGCAGCCCGAGCCGGCGAGCUCCUGUAGGUUGCUCGAUCGGAUCUGGUAUGGGACCCCGUUGACUUUCUCUCGAUUCUCUCUCAAAUAUUUUCCAAGUCCUGUUAAUUUCUCAGCAUGUGCCUCUGUUUCCGAUGCGAUAACUUCUUGCAUGUAGCUCCGAUUCGCGCGUAUAAUAUGUCAAAUUGUUCGUCUUGUGAUGCUAUUCAUUUUGUUCAAUUGCACCAUGUUCAUUAGAGGUCAUCUUGAUGCCCAAAUCUUCGUUGGAAGAGGGCUAGUUGCUGUUAAUCUCUGGUUCUUAUCAGAACUUGGAGAUUUGUCAUUUUUGUAUCAUUUAUUCUGUGCAUCUUUUGAGCAUGAGCUCUACAUGUGUUUUGAAGUAUGCCAUGCCAUCUUUCCAGUGGUAUAGUCCAUGUAUUUGUGUGAUCUCUGUGGUGACUAGCACAAGCAUGCAAAGUAGACCCCGUAAUAUUUCUGAUUUCAGGGACUUCGUGAUUUCUCUAAGUCCUUGUCUGCUGUAAUUUUGUUGCCAUGUAAACUUGAUGCUACAGAGAGAUCUAUGCAUAUUUUGGAGAUGUUCAAUAAGAAUGUUUUGUAUCUAUAGUUGUAUUGAUCCAUUCCUGCAAUUGUUUGCAAUUUUAGAGUACCAUAGCAUGACUCAAUCUUGCUCUACUUUUGCUAUAAAAUAUUUCUGGCAGAUUCUUAACAUGAUAUGCAUUUUUGCCAAGCUUAUUGUAGUUGAUCCAUACAUGCUAUGCAAUUGUUCUUGCCAUGGAUAGCUUCAUAAACAUGCCAUCUUGCCGUAGGUAUGCUUGGUUUGUCAUUCAUUGCUCUGUAGUGAGUGCAACUAGCUCACAAAGAGGCCUACAUAUUAAUAUUUCUGCCAUGCUCUGUUUUCUGCUAAGUCUGAAACCUGAUAACGAAACUUGCUAUGUUUACAUGCUUGCCAUCAUAUCUUCUGGUCCUUUUUGGCUUAUGGUCAGUAAGGGACUUUUGUCAUGUGCAUUUAGUAGAACACUACCAUGCCUUGUUGUGCUAUGUUAAGUUCCUGUAGCAUGUUGAUUUCGUGCUCUGAACAUUGCUACCUGAUGCUGAUUUCUGCCAUGUCCAGUUUUUCACCAAGUCUGUGAACCUGUAAUCUUUUGCACUUUUGCCAUGCUUGUUUGAGCUUGAUAUGUUGUGAACUAGCCGUAGCUCAGUGUUCAUCUUUUGUCAAGCAUCUCCUGUAGAUUUCUGUCAUAUGCUUUGUUGCUAUGUUGGGGUGCUGUAGCAUUGUUACUUGUUGUAUUUUAAGUGCUAUCUUGCUGUUUAUCGCAGAUUAGUGUCAUUCUUGUUUUGCUUGCCAUUUGCAAACCGUGCAUCCGAUUCCGGUGAUCUUUAUAUCUAUUUCGACCGAAAUCAUCUCAUAUUUCCAGUGGCAUGCUUGGUUUGCCAAGUUACUGCCAUGUUCAUCAUUUUCCUUCCGGAGCACGCAUAUGCAUCGCAUAUCAUAUCUUGCAUUUCAUACAUGUUUUGCAUCAUGGUGUUUGCGCAUUUCUCGUUGUUGAUUGUGGUUCCGUUUGUUUGUGUUCCUGUCUUGGGUAGAGCCGGGAGACGAGUUCGUGAACGAGGAACCUGUCGAGUACGCUUACGAGGAUCAAUCUUUCGACAACUCUGAGAAUCUUGCAGGCAAGAUGACCACCCCUCGAAAUCACUUCUAUCUUUGCUAUGCUAGUUGUUCGCUCUAUUGCCAUGCUCCGCUACCUAUCAAUUGCUAUAUCAUGUCUCCCAUUUUAGCCUUGGCAGCCCUAACCAUCUUUUCCUAGCAAACCGUUGUUUGGCUAUGUUACCGCUUUUGCUCAGCCCCUCUUAUAACGUUGCUAGUUGCAGGUGAAGUUGGUUUGUUCCAUGUCGGAACAUGGAUAUGUUGGGAUAUCACAAUAUCUCUUAUUUAAUUAAUGCAUCUAUAUAUUUUGGUAAAGGGUGGAAGGCUCGGCCUUAUGCCUGGUGUUUUGUUCCACUCUUGCCGCCCUAGUUAUUGUUAUACCGGGAUUAUGUUCCUUGAGUUUGCGUUCCUUACGCGGUCGGGUGAUUUAUGGGACCCCCUUGACAGUUCGCCUUGAAUAAAACUCCUCCAGCAAGGCCCAACCUUGGUUUUACCAUUUGCGACCUAUACCUUUUUCCCCCGGGUUUUCUAGAGCCCGAGGGUCAUCUUUAUUUUAAACCCCCGGGCCAGUGUUCCUCUGAGUGCUGGUCCAAACUAGAGCCACUUGCAGCGCCACCUUGGGGAAACUCGAGGAUUGGUUUUAGCUGUACGUAGUGUUCAUCCGGUGUGCCCUGAGAACGAGAUAUGUGCAGCUCCUAUCGGGAUUUGUCGGCACAUUCGGGCGGCUUUGCUGGUCUUGUUUUACCAUUGUCGAGAUGUCUUGUAAACCGGGAUUCCGAGACUGAUCGGGUCUUUCCGGGAGAAGGUUUAUCCUUCGUUGACCGUGAGAGCUUAUGAUGGGCUAAGUUGGGACACCCCUGCAGGGUAUUAUCUUUCGAAAGCCGUGCCCGCGGUUAUGAGGCAGAUGGGAAUUUGUUAAUGUCCGGUUGUAGAUAACUUGUCACUUGACCCAAUUAAAAUACACCAAGUGCAUGUGUAGCCGUGAUGGUCUCUUCUCGGCGGAGUCUGAGAAGUGAACACGGUCUGUGUUAUGUAUGACGUAAGUAGGUGUUCAGGAUCACUUCUUGGUCAUUGCUAGAUGACGUCCGUUCCUUUGCUUCUCUUCUCGCUCUCAUUUGCGCAAGUUAGCCACCAUAUAUGCUUUUGCCGCCGCAGUUCCACCUCACUCCUCCUCCUCUUCCUAUAAGCUUAAAUAGUCUUGAUCUCGCGGGUGUGAGAUUGCUGAGUCCCCGUGACUCACAGAUUCUACCAAAACAGUUGCAGGGGUCGAUGAUGCCAGUGCAGAUGAUGGCGUCGAUCUCAAGUGGGAGUUCGACGAGGAACGUGGUCGUUACUAUGUGUCUUUUCCUGAUGAUUAGUAGUGGAGCCCAGUUGGGACGAUCGGGGAUCUAGCAUUUGGGGUUGUCUUAUUUUUCUUCUGGAUUUUGACCGUAGUCGGUCUAUAUGAUUGUAUUUUGGAUGAUGUAUGAAUGAUAUUUAUGUAUUGUGUGAAGUGGCGAUUGUAAGCCAACUCUUUAUCCCAUUCUUGUUCAUUAC
rnacentral:lncRNA from 1 species